UGGGGAAUUUUGGACAAUGGGCGCAAGCCUGAUCCAGCCAUGCCGCGUGUCUGAAGAAGGCCUUCGGGUUGUAAAGGACUUUUGUCAGGGAAGAAAAGGCUGUUGCUAAUAUCAGCGGCUGAUGACGGUACCUGAAGAAUAAGCACCGGCUAACUACGUGCCAGCAGCCGCGGUAAUACGUAGGGUGCAAGCGUUAAUCGGAAUUACUGAGCGUAAAGCGAGCGCAGACGGUUACUUAAGCAGGAUGUGAAAUCCCCGGGCUCAACCUGGGAACUGCGUUCUGAACUGGGUGACUAGAGUGCGUCAGAGGGAGGUAGAAUUCCACGUGUAGCAGUGAAAUGCGUAGAGAUGUGGAGGAAUACCGAUGGCGAAGGCAGCCUCCUGGGAUAACACUGACGUUCAUGCUCGAAAGCGUGGGUAGCAAACAGGAUUAGAUACCCUGGUAGUCCACGCCCUAAACGAUGUCAAUUAGCUGUUGGGCAACUUGAUUGUUCAGUAGCGUAGCUAACGCGUGAAAUUGACCGCCUGGGGGAGUACGGUCGCAAGAUUA
rnacentral:rRNA from 1 species